UAACGAACAGCUCAUAAGAUUCCCGUGCUGCAACUGAAUCAACCGGCCGAGGCACUCUACGGCGGCGACGGCGUGCGCCGCCGCAAUCCGCCCCAAUCCUGCGGGAUCUGUCCGACUGCUCCGGCCACCCCCUCUUCAACCACCCGGACCUCCUCCAGCCGGCAUACCCCGUGGGACCGGCAUCCUCCGCCGCCCUCCUUCAACGCCGGUGCGUUUCUCCGCGGCGCGCGCGGAUGGGCGGGCUGCAGUACGCGGAGGCGUUUCGAUCAGUACCCACCUGCCGUUCAGCCGGAGUAGCCCCAGCCAUGGCCGACGGGCUCGGCGGCCCCCCUCCCCUCCCCUCCAUGCACCGCGGACAUCCAUGCAGGGACUUGAACUCAUGGACAUGCCAUCAUCCUUAUUACAAUAGACAUCCUUGGCCGGCAGAAGUAUGGUGACGCAAAGAACCUGGCCACCGCCUGCUCCCUGCAUCAGCAAGCAAGCGACGGAGCUUCCAACAGGCGGAAAUGCGUGCGUGUUUAUGACACAACUGAAACAAUCCUUCGCGGGAAGAUUUUGCUGCUGUCCAGGCCAUCUUGAAGACUUUGGUGAUGCAUCUGGUCUGUUAACUUAACAUCGCGAAGAGUGUGGCUUAUCCUAUCUCCUAUGCAGAGUGAUUUUGGUGGAGUACAAGCUAUUUGCCUUGCUGGUAUCUGGGUAUGCCUCUAAGGUUCAGAAAGCCGAGGAGAACCGAGCUACAGCUGAUUGUGCUUGACAAGGCUGCUGGCAAGCUCUCGCCAUGGAAAGGGUGCCUUCUCAUCAGGGCUGGGAGACUGGUGCUUAUUAGCUCGGUGGUCACUGCAACUGCUACCUAUUUUCUAUCUGCCUUCCUAGAGGAACAAAUGGAUGAUGAAAAAGAUGGACAGGCUCAGAAGGAAUUUUCUCUGGGGAGCUGAUGACCAAAGAGACCAUGGAAGGGCACCCAGACUCCAUGCGAUGAGGCUGACCAACGCCAGGGGCUCGAUUUCAGAACUCCAACGCUAGAGUGUGCUCAAUUGUUUCCUUGGCUUCCCCAAUCGGGGGAUGGUGGAGGAGGAUUUGCUCGGCUCGCCGAGGCGAGGAGGAGAGAUUACUCUGUAGGCAUACACUGCCUGGCAGCUGUGGAAAGAGCGAAAGAGGAGGAGGUAGUUGCGGUCGUCUUGGCAGGUUUCGUUAGCUAACUGCAAACAGCUUACACUACUAGCAGACUUGACUAGCAGCGUCGUCGAGAAAGGGGAACGGUGAAAAUCCAGAAUCGAUCAGUUUCGAGCAAAAAGUACCUGUGUAUGUAGCGAUCCAGCGCGCUUCCAACUGAAGAGGGCCGCGGCGGUAGGCAACAACUCUGCUCAUGAACUCAUCUUCAACAGAAUGGCCGUGUUUCAACUCUCUUUUGUUUCCCCUAGGAAAGAAAAAGAGAAAGGAAUAGGGCCAUUUUUCUACUGGCCUCUUCAGAGUGGAGACUUAGCCAAACUGCAUCCGCCCGUUUCGUUUGCCGGGCGGCCAAAUGGCAACAGCUCCCCUGACUUGUCUCCAUGGAGGUAACGACCGAAAUUAUGACUUGUAUAAUGGCAGUGGAGUGUGCUCAUCUGCUGGCGACAACUCUAUCAACACUUGAAUAUAAACAUGUCAGUGGUAGCUACACUCCAAACACAUAUACUACAUCAUAAACACGGGACUCCCAACACUAUCGACACUAUGAAUGCUGUUGCUGAUGCAAGAUUAGUAAUCAAGCUUCUUUUUGCAUUUUUUUUCUCUCUGGAAAGAUCCGGAUAUGAAGCAUUUUUUUAACCUUAGGCGAAUGAUGGGUUACCGGGUCAACAACCUUGCAACGCCGGUGAGCUCAUCGGUCCGCCCUGCCUCCGGUGGCCCUUGUAGAUGCGGGAGGUGUGGUGGACACGGCUCCUCGCCCGUGAGUGGGGAGAUAGUUCAUAGGUUAGGCGUAUGUCAACAACAUUUCGCGGUGAUUGUGUCGCCAUACAGAAUAAGGUGCCCUCGACCUUUUCCUCGUGCCGGCGGGGCUUUGUGGUGCCGGAUUUGGUUCUCCAGAUCUUCUCCACCUUUGUACAGCAGUUGGUCGCAGUCAUCCGUUGUUUGUCUUAUUUAUAUACUACUCCCUCUGUUUCUCAAUAUAAGACUUUUAUGGAUGUAUAUAGACAUAAUUUAUAGAUUCACUCAUUUUGU